rnacentral:rRNA from 1 species
UACGUAGGGGGCAAGCGUUGUCCGGAAUCAUUGGGCGUAAAGAGCGUGUAGGCGGCCCGAUAAGUCCGCUGUGAAAGUCCAGGGCUCAACCCUGGAAUGCCGGUGGAUACUGUCGGGCUCGAGUUCGGAAGAGGUGAGUGGAAUUCCUGGUGUAGCGGUGAAAUGCGUAGAGAUCCGGAGGAACACCGAAGGCGAAGGCAGUGUCCUGGCUGGUGACUGACGCUGAGGUGCGAAAGCUAGGGGAGCGAACGGG